rnacentral:tRNA from 1 species
GAUGGUAUAGCUCAGUGGUAGAGCACAUGCUUAGCAUGCAUAAGGUCCUGGGUUCAAUCCCCAGUGCUUCCA